CUUGGGUAGGUCCCAUUGUAUAGGAUAUGCAACUCUAGGAAAGCAUAACAACCCUAACAAUGUAGAGAUAUGUCUAGAAUGAAUAUGGAUGAAUGCCAUUCUUCUUGGCUCCCUCCCAGCUAAUCUAAAAAAGGAAACGUUACCCUUUCCUACAAGCACUGAUGAGCAGACAGCCUACAAAUAAAACAUAGUCUUGAGCCAGUUCAAGAGUGGUCUGGUAUCUGCGGUUUCCAGGAUAACUGUUCAAGAAUGUUCAUAGCAAGUGUUGGAAUCUACCCUCCCCUGGCACCUGUCUUCCUCAUCAUGUGGAAUGAGGUCCUAUCAGGACUUCCAGUUUUUCGUCAACUACCAAGUGAGAUCUGAGUGUCCCCUGGGCCUGUAAGUGGUGCAGCCACAGCCAUGAGUUCACAAUUCGAGUGGAAAUUCUCUAUGUAAGAAGAGCACGAACUGGAUCCACAGCUUUACUGUCUCAUGGUCACCAUUACCCAUGACUGGCAUUUUCCUGAGCUUUCAUGUAAAGACGAUCACAGCUCAGAGAUGUCAAUCUACCACACAGCUGAUCAUGAAAACAGGGAAACAAUCCAACUAUUUGUUUGUCAAUGAUAUGCUCAAGAUUGAGUUGAACAGCUCUUGAAAGAUUGUGCCUACAUCAGAUCCCUUCACAAGGACACGCACUGUCCUGGAGAGAAAACAUCUGGGGAGAGCCAACGUAAUAGAUUGCAGUACUAUGUAAUCUCGGGUAAUUUAACCCAAAGUCAUGCUUACUUGGUAAAAAACACAAACAAAUGCAGUUCUAAGUAUGAUCCCACAAGAAAGCUUGGUCUGCAUAUCUUUUGGGAAAUCUACCAAAAUAAGACUUUUUAACAAGAUUGGAAAAAGUAAUUGAGUAAAAAUGAUCUUAAAUGUCGAACUCCAUGUUAAUAUUCUGAGUUGAUGACCACAAAUUAUCAUGAGGAGGUAGGAGUACAAUAAAAGUCUUAUAUUCCAGUCUUUAA
rnacentral:lncRNA from 1 species